rnacentral:misc_RNA from 1 species
UUGUGGAGGAGGACGCCGAAGGUGGGGCUAAUGACUGGGGCGAAGUCGUAACAAGGUAGCCGUACCGGAAGGUGCGGCUGGAUCACCUCCUAACAGGGAGACAACAAAAUGUUUAAUAUUAUUAUUUUGUCACCUUAGGUCGAUCGGUAUCUCAUGUUCUUAAUUUAUCAAGAAUUUCAUUUCCUAAGUUUUUCUAGGUCACACCCAUUAUUUUCCUGGGCCAUUAGCUCAGGUGGUUAGAGCGCACCCCUGAUAAGGGUGAGGUCCCUGGUUCAAGUCCAGGAUGGCCCAUAUCUCUAUGUUGGGGGUAUAGCUCAGUUGGUAGAGCGCCUGCUUUGCAAGCAGGAUGUCAGCGGUUCGAGUCCGCUUACCUCCACUGAUUACCACCUCUUCCAUAAUCUGUAGAAAGGAAAAUUCUUGAGUUUUGACCAUUUUUCUGAACGAAUCUAGCUUCCUAAUGAAACCAUUAAGAUGCUGGACUUAUUGAAUUAAUUUCAUUGUUUUCAGAGAACCUUGACAACUGCAUAGAUUAUUUUUAAAGACAAUAAGCAUCUUUAAAUGAUGCAGAUUUAUUAUUUGUGCAAAUGCAUUAAUAACAAUUCUAUUAAGCUGAUGCUUCAAUUAUGAAGUUAUUGGUCAAGCUACAA